rnacentral:tRNA from 1 species
GGAGAGAUGCUCGAGUGGCUGAAGAGGCACGCCUGGAAAGCGUGUAAGCGUCAAAAGCGCUUCGGGGGUUCGAAUCCCCCUCUCUCCG